rnacentral:rRNA from 1 species
UACGAAGGGGGCUAGCAUUGCUCGGAAUCACUGGGCGUAAAGGGUGCGUAGGCGGGUCUUUAAGUCAGGGGUGAAAUCCUGGAGCUCAACUCCAGAACUGCCUUUGAUACUGAAGAUCUUGAGUUCGGGAGAGGUGAGUGGAACUGCGAGUGUAGAGGUGAAAUUCGUAGAUAUUCGCAAGAACACCAGUGGCGAAGGCGGCUCACUGGCCCGAUACUGACGCUGAGGCACGAAAGCGUGGGGAGCGAACAGG